rnacentral:lncRNA from 1 species
AGAGAACACAAUAUUUGUUUCUAUCUUUUAAGAUUAUCUCUCUAAAAUGUUACAAAAACUGCUAUUUAUAGUAACCAGGCAGACGUGGUUAUCAUUAGAUCAGAUUCACGUUGCCUCAUCUGCUAGACGUGGGUGUCACGUCAUCCUAUCUAAUAUUAACUACGGUGACUAACAUUUGACAAAGGACCAACCACCCUACACUCGUAGGUUGACAUUGCUAACACCUAUGUAAUGAGGAUGUCACAUCAGUCAUUCCUAAAGAUACCUUCAUCAAACCUACUUUUGGGAACCACGGACAUUGGAUGUGAAGGAGUUCGGCAGAAGGGAGAAAAGCACUUCAGCUAAGCGAGGAGAGCACUUCAGUAGUUGGACUUUGGCUAGUUGAUGAGAGCACUUCGGAAGUUGGGCCUCGGUCAAUAUCCCCUCCUUUAUUCUUGAUUGAAUGCCACGCGUGUGUACACAGUGUUUCCAUGUGGCUCUUUCGUGUGGUCAGUAACAAUAUCAGUAUCUUUCAUAUUACUUUUCCUCUUUCAACGAAAAGUCGAUAGCAGCGAAGAAUAUUUUGAUACUUGCGACACUUAAUGUUUUCACCCUAUGGGUCGGAAUGUGGUCAGGAAUAUUUUCUGUUCCUAUCGACAUGAUGUUAAUGUUUUGUUAUUUUCUUUGCCUACUUUUGUCCCGUUGUUUCGUUUAUUAGUUUUUUGCACUUCGCAAAUAUUUUGAUGAUAGCACGGCAGCUCGAGUAUAGGAUGAUUGAUCUUUGGGAACGUAAUGUUAGAAUAAUUAAUUAUUUCAUAUGUGGGCUUCACAUUGGAUUGCAAAUUUUAUGGAUUAGAUGUAUGGCUCAUAAUGAUAUUUUUAUGUUUGGGCCAAAUUUAUUAAGUGA